AGUGGCGGACGGGUGAGUAAUGUCUGGGAAACUGCCUGAUGGAGGGGGAUAACUACUGGAAACGGUAGCUAAUACCGCAUAACGUCGCAAGACCAGAGAGGGGGACCUUCGGGCCUCUUGCCAUCAGAUGUGCCCAGAUGGGAUUAGCUAGUAGGUGGGGUAACGGCUCACCUAGGCGACGAUCCCUAGCUGGUCUGAGAGGAUGACCAGCCACACUGGAACUGAGACACGGUCCAGACUCCUACGGGAGGCAGCAGUGGGGAAUAUUGCACAAUGGGCGCAAGCCUGAUGCAGCCAUGCCGCGUGUAUGAAGAAGGCCUUCGGGUUGUAAAGUACUUUCAGCGGGGAGGAAGGCGAUAAGGUUAAUAACCUUGUCGAUUGACGUUACCCGCAGAAGAAGCACCGGCUAACUCCGUGCCAGCAGUCGCGGUAAUACGGAGGGUGCAAGCGUUAAUCGGAAUUACUGGGCGUAAAGCGCACGCAGGCGGUCUGUCAAGUCGGAUGUGAAAUCCCCGGGCUCAACCUGGGAACUGCAUUCGAAACUGGCAGGCUGGAGUCUUGUAGAGGGGGGUAGAAUUCCAGGUGUAGCGGUGAAAUGCGUAGAGAUCUGGAGGAAUACCGGUGGCGAAGGCGGCCCCCUGGACAAAGACUGACGCUCAGGUGCGAAAGCGUGGGGAGCAAACAGGAUUAGAUACCCUGG
rnacentral:rRNA from 1 species